GAGAAUUAGCUCAGUUGGUUAGAGCACUUGCCUGUUAAGCAAGGGGUCACUGGUUCAAGACCAGUAUUCUCC
rnacentral:tRNA from 1 species